rnacentral:rRNA from 1 species
UACGGGAGGCAGCAGUGGGGAAUAUUGCACAAUGGGCGAAAGCCUGAUGCAGCGACGCCGCGUGAGGGAUGACGGCCUUCGGGUUGUAAACCUCUUUCAGCAGGGAAGAAGCGAAAGUGACGGUACCUGCAGAAGAAGCACCGGCUAACUACGUGCCAGCAGCCGCGGUAAUACGUAGGGUGCGAGCGUUAUCCGGAAUUAUUGGGCGUAAAGAGCUCGUAGGCGGUUUUGUCACGUCUGUCGUGAAAGUCCGGGGCUUAACCCCGGAUCUGCGGUGGGUACGGGCAGACUAGAGUGCAGUAGGGGAGACUGGAAUUCCUGGUGUAGCGGUGGAAUGCGCAGAUAUCAGGAGGAACACCGAUGGCGAAGGCAGGUCUCUGGGCUGUACUGACGCUGAGAGCGAAGCAGUGGGGAGCG